UAUCAUGCCAAUAUCUAGAGGGGAAUUAGUGCAUGGACCAGGGAGAGAUGAUUCCUUGAGCCAUUCUCUGUCGGAUAGAUGUAUAUUACAGUGGCGACUUGUGUUGAUGGUUUGUUAUCAGGCUGUGCUGCGUAAAUAUUCCUGGAUGUGAAGAGUUGCAGCUGGAAUAAGCUGCUGAUAGGAUGACAAGUUCAAAUUGCUGCACUUUUCUGCUAUAACCAUACAUUGUCAUCUAACAUCUCAUCUUGAACAAUGUCUAUUUAUUUAUUUUGCUUAUGCAACUUUCUGUCAACCUUUAUACAGUAAUGCUCAUGUCUGAGAGUACUGAAUGAGAUUGAGCGAUAAUGAAAUUAUGAAUACUCUUUUUUUUUUGUGUUUGGUUGAAGAAUGUAUGGAUGGUUUUGGAGAUUGAGAAGGUGUAAAUGGUGUUUCAA